rnacentral:rRNA from 1 species
UACGUAGGCAGCAAUCGUUGUUCGGAAUUACUGGGCGUAAAGAGUGUGUAGGCGGUUGGGCAAGUCUGGUGUGAAAUCUCCCGGCUUAACUGGGAGGGUGCUCUAGAAACUGCCUGGCUUGAGUGUCGGAGAGGAAGGCGGAAUUCCUGGAGUAGCGGUGAAAUGCGUAGAUAUCAGGAGGAACACCAGCGGUGUAGACGGCCUUCUUGACGCCAACUGAGGCUGAGACACGAAAGCGUGGGGAGCAAAGAGG